rnacentral:rRNA from 1 species
GUGUCAGCAGCCGCGGUAAGACGAGGGGUCCAAGCGUUGUUCGGAAUCAUUGGGCGUAAAGCGGGUGUAGGUGGCUCUAUAAGUCAGGAGUGAAAGCCCCGAGCUUAACUCGGGAAGUGCUUUUGAUACUGUAGAGCUUGAGUGUGGGAGAGGAUCGUGGAAUUCCAGGUGUAGUGGUGAAACACGUAGAUAUCUGGAGGAACACCGGUGGCGAAGGCGGCGAUCUGGCCCAACACUGACACUGAGACCCGAAAGCAUGGGGAUCAAACAGGAUUAGAAACCCUGGUAGUCC